UAGGGAAUCUUCCGCAAUGGACGAAAGUCUGACGGAGCAACGCCGCGUGAGUGAAGAAGGAUUUCGGUUCGUAAAACUCUGUUGUUAGUGAAGAAAAAAUGUAUAGUAACUAUAUACAAAAGAGACGGUACCUAACCAGAAAGCCACGGCUAACUACGUGCCAGCAGCCGCGGUAAUACGUAGGUGGCAAGCGUUGUCCGGAAUUAUUGGGCGUAAAGCGCGCGCAGGUGGUUUAGAAAGUCUGAUGUGAAAGCCCACGGCUCAACCGUGGAGGGUCAUUGGAAACUAAUAAACUUGAGUGCAGGAGAGAAAAGUGGAAUUCCUAGUGUAGCGGUGAAAUGCGUAGAGAUUAGGAGGAACACCGGUGGCGAAAGCGGCUUUUUGGCCUGCAACUGACACUGAGGCGCGAAAGCGUGGGGAGCAAACAGG
rnacentral:rRNA from 1 species